rnacentral:rRNA from 1 species
GACGAACGCUGGCGGCGUGCCUAAUACAUGCAAGUCGAGCGAGCUUGCCUAGAUGAAUUUGGUGCUUGCACCAAAUGAAACUAGAUACAAGCGAGCGGCGGACGGGUGAGUAACACGUGGGUAACCUGCCCAAGAGACUGGGAUAACACCUGGAAACAGAUGCUAAUACCGGAUAACAACACUAGACGCAUGUCUAGAGUUUAAAAGAUGGUUCUGCUAUCACUCUUGGAUGGACCUGCGGUGCAUUAGCUAGUUGGUAAGGUAACGGCUUACCAAGGCAAUGAUGCAUAGCCGAGUUGAGAGACUGAUCGGCCACAUUGGGACUGAGACACGGCCCAAACUCCUACGGGAGGCAGCAGUAGGGAAUCUUCCACAAUGGACGCAAGUCUGAUGGAGCAACGCCGCGUGAGUGAAGAAGGGUUUCGGCUCGUAAAGCUCUGUUGGUAGUGAAGAAAGAUAGAGGUAGUAACUGGCCUUUAUUUGACGGUAAUUACUUAGAAAGUCACGGCUAACUACGUGCCAGCAGCCGCGGUAAUACGUAGGUGGCAAGCGUUGUCCGGAUUUAUUGGGCGUAAAGCGAGUGCAGGCGGUUCAAUAAGUCUGAUGUGAAAGCCUUCGGCUCAACCGGAGAAUUGCAUCAGAAACUGUUGAACUUGAGUGCAGAAGAGGAGAGUGGAACUCCAUGUGUAGCGGUGGAAUGCGUAGAUAUAUGGAAGAACACCAGUGGCGAAGGCGGCUCUCUGGU